GACGAACGCUGGCGGCGUGCUUAACACAUGCAAGUCGAACGGUGAAGGGAUCAGCUUGCUGGUUCUGGAUGAGUGGCGAACGGGUGAGUAACACGUGAGUAACCUGCCCCCUUCUUCUGGAUAACCGCAUGAAAGUGUGGCUAAUACGGGAUAUUCUGCGCCUGCUGCAUGGUGGGUGUGGGAAAGAUAUUGUUUCGGUGGGGGAUGGGCUCGCGGCCUAUCAGCUUGUUGGUGGGGUGAUGGCCUACCAAGGCGGUGACGGGUAGCCGGCCUGAGAGGGUGGACGGGAACACUGGGACUGAGACACGGCCCAGACGCCUACGGGAGGCAGCAGUGGGGAAUAUGGCACAGUGGGCGCAGGCCUGAUGCAGCGACGCCGAGUGAGGGAUGGAGGCCUUCGGGUUGUGGACCUCUUGCGCCAGUGAAGCAGGCCUGUCCCUUGUGGGUGGGUUGACGGUAGCUGGAUAAGAAGCGCCGGCUAACUACGUG
rnacentral:rRNA from 1 species